UACGUAGGGACCAAGCGUUGUUCGGAUUUAUUGGGCGUAAAGAGCGUGUAGGCGGCCUGGAAGGUCAGCUGUGAAAACUCGAGGCUCAACCUCGAGACGUCGGUUGAAACCACUUGGCUAGAGUCCGGAAGAGGAGUGUGGAAUUCCCGGUGUAGCGGUGAAAUGCGCAGAUAUCGGGAAGAACACCCGUGGCGAAGGCGGCACUCUGGGACGGUACUGACGCUGAGACGCGAAAGCGUGGGGAGCGAACAGG
rnacentral:rRNA from 1 species